rnacentral:rRNA from 1 species
AGCAGCCGCGGUAAUUCCAGCUCCAAUAGCGUAUAUUAAAGUUGUUGCAGUUAAAAAGCUCGUAGUUGAAUUUCGGGAUUAGUACGUUGGUCGUGCCUUAGGUACGUACUGGUGUUACUGGUUCCUACCUUCUGACGAACCAUCAUGUCAUUAAUUUGGUGUGGCGGGGAAUCAGGACUGUUACUUUGAAAAAAUUAGAGUGUUUAAAGCAAGCUAACGCUUGAAUACAUUAGCAUGGAAUAAUGAAAUAGGACGUUCGAUCCUAUUUUGUUGGUUUCUAGGAUUGACGUAAUGAUUAAUAGGGAUAGUUGGGGGCAUUAGUAUUCAAUUGUCAGAGGUGAAAUUCUUGGAUUUAUUGAAGACUAACUACUGCGAAAGCAUUUGCCAAGGAUGUUUUCAUUAAUCAAGAACGAAAGUUAGGGGAUCGAAGACGAUCAGAUACCGUCGUAGUCUUAACCAUAAACUAUGCCGACUAGGGAUCGGAUGAUGUUAAUUUUUUAAUGACUCAUUCGGCGCCUUACG